rnacentral:rRNA from 1 species
UACGGAGGGGGCUAGCGUUGUUCGGAAUUACUGGGCGUAAAGCGUGCGUAGGUGGUUCGUUAAGUCUGAUGUGAAAGCCCUGGGCUCAACCUGGGAAUGGCAUUGGAAACUGGCGACCUAGAGUGCGGUAGAGGGUAGUGGAAUUCCCGGUGUAGCAGUGAAAUGCGUAGAGAUCGGGAGGAACACCAAUGGCGAAGGCAGCUCGCUGGGACGUUACUGACGCUGAGACGCGAAAGCGUGGGAGCAAACAGG